GGCUGAAGGAGGUAUAAUGGAGGUAGUGUAGAUGUUGAUGGAGGUAUAAUGAAGGCUGAAGGAGGUAUAAUGGAGGUAGUGUAGAUGUUGAUGGAGGUAUAAUGAAGGCUGAAGGAGGUAUAAUGGAGGUAGUGUAGAUGUUGAUGGAGGUAUAAUGGAGGCUGAAGGAG